rnacentral:rRNA from 1 species
UUGUUGGUAAGGUAAAAGCUUACCAAGGCUUCGAUCAGUAGCUGGUCUGAGAGGACGACCAGCCACACUGGGACUGAGACACGGCCCAGACUCCUACGGGAGGCAGCAGUGGGGAAUUUUGGACAAUGGGGGCAACCCUGAUCCAGCCAUGCCGCGUGAGUGAAGAAGGCCUUCGGGUUGUAAAGCUCUUUCAGCCGGAACGAAACGGUUACGGAUAACACCCGUGACUACUGACGGUACCGGAAGAAGAAGCACCGGCUAACUACGUGCCAGCAGCCGCGGUAAUACGUAGGGUGCGAGCGUUAAUCGGAAUUACUGGGCGUAAAGCGUGCGCAGGUGGUUUUGUAAGUCAGAUGUGAAAGCCCCGGGCUCAACCUGGGAACUGCGUUUGAAACUACAAGACUAGAGUGUGGCAGAGGGGGGUGGAAUUCCGCGUGUAGCAGUGAAAUGCGUAGAGAUGUGGAGGAACACCGAUGGCGAAYGCAGCCCCCUGGGUCAACACUGACGCUCAGGCACGAAAGCAUGGGGAGCAAACAGGAUUAGAUACCCUGGUAGUCCAUGCCCUAAACGAUGUCAACUAGUUGUCGGGCCUUUACGGGCUUGGUAACGUAGCUAACGCGUGAAGUUGACCGCCUGGGGAGUACGAUCGCAAGAUUAAAACUCAAAUGAAUUGACGGGGACCCGCACAAGCGGUGGAUUAUGUGGAUUAAUUCGAUGCAACGCGAAAAACCUUACCUACCCUUGACAUGUAUCGAAGCCCGCAGAAAAGCGGGGGUGCCCGAAAGGGAACGAUAACACAGGUGCUGCAUGGCUGUCGUCAGCUCGUGUCGUGAGAUGUUGGGUUAAGUCCCGCAACGAGCGCAACCCUUGUCAUUAAUUGCCAUCAUUUAGUUGGGCACUUUAAUGAGACUGCCGG